GCUUACGGCCACACCACCCUGAGCGCGCCCAAUCUCGUCUGAUCUCGGAAGCUAAGCAGGGUCGGGCCUGGUUAGUACUUGGAUGGGAGACCGCCUGGGAAUACCAGGUGCCGUAAGCU
rnacentral:rRNA from 1 species